UACGUAGGUGGCGAGCGUUGUCCGGAAUUACUGGGUGUAAAGCGCGUGUAGGCGGGAGGCCAAGUCUGUGGUGAAAUCGCUCGGCUUAACUGGGCGGGGUCCAUGGAAACUGGUCACCUGGAGGUCAGUAGAGGCAAGUGGAAUUCCCGGUGUAGCAGUGAAAUGCGUAGAGAUCGGGAGGAACAUCAGUUGCGAAGGCGGGUCUCUGGGCCGAUACUGACGCUGAGGAGCGAAAGCGUGGGGAGCGAACAGGA
rnacentral:rRNA from 1 species